CCUACGGGAGGCAGCAGUGGGGAAUAUUGGACAAUGGGCGAAAGCCUGAUCCAGCAAUUCCGCGUGUGUGAAGAAGGCCUUCGGGUUGUAAAGCACUUUAGUGGGGGAAGAAACAGCUUGGCCACACCAAGCCUUGACGGUACCCCAAGAAUAAGCACCGGCUAACUCUGUGCCAGCAGCCGCGGUAAUACAGAGGGUGCAAGCGUUAAUCGGAUUUACUGGGCGUAAAGGGUGCGUAGGUGGCUAUUUAAGUCGGAUGUGAAAGCCCGGGGCUCAACCUCGGAAUUGCAUUCGAUACUGAGUGGCUAGAGUUCGGUAGAGGGCGGCGGAAUUUCCGGUGUAGCGGUGAAAUGCGUAGGUAUCGGAAGGAACAUCAAUGGCGAAGGCAGCCGCCUGGGCCUGGACUGACACUGAGGCACGAAAGCGUGGGUAGCAAACAGGAUUAGAUACCCUGGUAGUCCACGCCGUAAACGAUGAGAACUUGACGUUGGUUCGUUUUACGAAUCGGUGUCGCAGCUACGACGAUAAGUUACUCCGUCCGUCGGGUAGGUACGGCCGCGAGGUUAGUAACGUACAAAGAAGUUAGACGGCGUGAGACGUACGCCGACGACGACGACGAGGGAGGAGG
rnacentral:rRNA from 1 species